rnacentral:rRNA from 1 species
AGUUGGUGGAGUGAUUUGUCUGCUUAAUUGCGCUAACGAACGAGACCUCAGCCUACUAAAUAGAGACGCGACACUCUGUGCCGCGGUACUACUUCUUAGAGGGACUCUCGCCGCGAAGGCGAGGGAAGUUUGAGGCAAUAACAGG